GGCUGUAGCUCAGUGAUAGAGCACCUGCCUUGCACGUGUGAGGCCCUGGGUUCAAUCCUCAGCACCA
rnacentral:tRNA from 1 species